GCUGGUUCCGGUUUGCGGCUGUUCGUUCUCUUUCCGUGUCAGAAGUUCAACGAGGCAACACGCUUGUGUUUGGCCCGCCGUGAGCAAAAAUGGUGAACCACCGUAUUCCUUCGGUCUUCUCGAAGACCUACGUUACUCCGCGCCGUCCGUUCGAAAAGCCGCGUCUUGAUGCGGAAUUGAAGAUUAUCGGCCAGUACGGUCUGCGCAACAAGCGUGAGGUAUGGCGCGUGAAGUACACGCUGGCCAAGAUCCGCAAGGCUGCCCGUGAGUUGCUCACGCUGGAGGAGAAGGAUGAAAAGCGUCUCUUCCAAGGUAAUGCCUUGUUGCGCCGUCUGGUGCGUAUCGGUGUGCUGGACGAGUCCCGCAUGAAGCUCGAUUACGUUCUCGGUCUGAGAAUCGAGGAUUUCCUGGAGCGCCGUCUGCAGACGCAAGUGUUCAAGCUGGGACUGGCCAAGUCGUACCAUCACGCACGCGUUCUCAUCCGUCAGAGACACAUUCGGUAAGUAGGAAUCCACCGACGAUAUAUGUGAUGCAUGGUGGUGAAGUAUUAGGACAGUGGUCGGUUGAUGUGUGCGGAGAAAAACCUUCAAGCUCUCAUCGAAAUACGUUUUGUGUGUCCAGUUCUGUAGAGAGAUUUUGCACUGGUCUCGCACCGCUGCUAAUGAUCGUGAGUGCCACUUAGAUUCUGUUUGGUCUGACGACCGAUUGGUUUCUAACGCCUCACACAAAUUCAAUUCCCUUGGCACUGCUGCUCAAAGGUUUUUGGAGACCCCUUUGGAUUGACGAAAGUUGUUCCACUAGGGUCCAGGAACCGCGGCAUGAUCGCCAUUGCGAAUUUGAAUGUUCUCUGCUGAGAAGUUCUCGCCUGCCCUCGGAAGCUAGAGAGGGAAGUAGUCCUUCCACGCGAGCACACGAUGCUAGAACGCAUCAUCAUCAUGGGCCGACAGAUAUUAUUGCACAUUAAUAACCGUAUGGAUGAGUGUCCGCAAGCAGGUCGUGAACAUUCCUUCGUUCAUCGUCCGUCUGGAUUCGCAGAAGCACAUUGACUUCUCGCUGAAGUCACCGUUCGGUGGUGGCCGUCCGGGUCGCGUCAAGAGGAAGAACCUGAAGAAGGGCCAGGGCGGCAGCGGUGCUGCUGAAGAGGAGGAAGAAGAUUAAGCCUUCGCCAUUUCUGUUGCACAACAUCUCGCUGUUGUUGCUGCUGCUGCUUCGCGAAAUGCAAUAAAAACAUAAACUACAAGAGAC